CGGUCGCACCAUGAGCAACCUCCCCGCCGACCGGGAGAGCGGCCCCGCCGACACCGGCCUGCCCGAGGAGGAGGUGAGGACACUCUUUGUCAGCGGGUUGCCUCUGGACAUUAAGCCCCGGGAACUUUACCUGCUCUUCAGGCCCUUUAAGGGGUACGAGGGGUCUCUCAUCAAACUCACCUCCAAGCAGCCCGUGGGCUUCGUCAGCUUCGACAGCCGCUCCGAGGCAGAGGCGGCGAAGAACGCUCUGAACGGCAUCCGCUUCGACCCCGAGAUCCCCCAGACGCUGCGGCUGGAGUUCGCCAAGGCCAACACCAAGAUGGCCAAGAGCAAGCUGGUGGGCACCCCAAACCCCAGCACCCCUUUCCCCACCGCCGUACCUCAGUUCAUCGCCCGGGAGCCCUAUGAGCUCACAGUGCCUGCACUUUACCCCAGUAGCCCUGAAGUGUGGGGGCCGUACCCUCUGUACCCAGCGGAAUUAGCACCUGCUCUACCUCCUCCUGCUUUCACCUAUCCCGCUUCACUGCACGCCCAGAUGCGCUGGCUCCCUCCUUCCGAGGCUGGUUCUCAGGGCUGGAAGUCCCGUCAGUUCUGCUGAAUGCCGGGUCUCAGGUGUGUGAUGGUGGCCUACAGUCAGUCUUGUGGGUAUUAGUGGAGUCUUCCAAGGCGGCUACUGGGGUGACGUGCUCUCCGCCGGACCACAGUGUGCUGGCUUGAAAAAAAACCCUCACACGAGUUUGGAUUCCUCCAAGACUUUCCCACAGCCUCUAUCACACAUCUGCUCUCCUAGAAGAAAAACAUUACCUAGUAAUAAUAUUUUCCUCUUUUACACUGUAUAUUUGUAAGGAAGAGUGUGUUGCUCCCGAAAGCAUGGUUUGACAGGCAUUGUUGUAGUGUUUGAACUUUUCAAACAGAACCAUACGAAAGCAGACUAAAACGAGAGCCAAGUAUUUUUGUACCAAAGCUCCUCAAAGAGGACAAUCUUACACCGGGUUGGACCACAGGCUUCGUGCUUGACUUUUGGAAGGUGUGUAAUUAAGAGUCUUAUAUUGUCCCCCGGCCCCCCGUCAGCUGCAUGUCGAAGGCAUGACGUUCACGUGUGUGCAGAUGUCGAGACACACCACGGGGGUUACAGGAACUGUGCUCCAGCCGUGUCGGCGAGACGUCCGUGGACACUGCAGUAUUACUGUCUUCUUCCCAGUUGUACCAAAUGACAACCAGGCAGGACAAUCAGGAACGUUCUUCCGGUGGUUUUUUUGUACCUUAGGGCUGUGUUCGUAGCUGCUGCGCAAAGCUUCCGCGGGGUGCAACGGCUCGGAUCAGGGAUGGGCACACGGCCCGCACAUGUAGCAAGGUGACAACUUGCCUCCUCCUCUUCUUCCUCUUCCUCCUGCCAUGGCUGCUUCAAGCUGUUACAGGCAACGUAAACUGCUGUAUGAGAAAAACUCUUCCUGCUACGCCGAAGCGCUGGACUGGGGUUUUAGCACCGAGGUUAUGCCAGUCCGGCCGCUCGCUGCGUGGCAUUCCCAUGUUUCCAUGUGCAAAGACAAGAAGGGAAGCUGCCAACACCCUUUACGGAGGUAGUGUACCAGCAAAGAGACUGCUUGAUGUACUAGUUGCUCCUUCUCCUUGCUCCAGGAGGAAUUUGCAGAAAGAAAUGAACAGAGCAAACCAACCCAAAACCUCAUAUCAGGUCUCGGUUUCUUGCAAAGGGAGGUGCAAAGCUCCUCCUUCCAUUUCCUUCCCCUGUCCUCAUUCCAGCUGCAAGGAACAGUGAGCUCAGCCACUGCCCAGGCCUCACUGUAGCUGGUUUCCCAGCUGUCCAUGGCCUCAUUCAGCAUCAUCACCUUUUCCUUCCUCCUUCCUCUCGUCCUGUGGGUGGGCCAAAAUAAAGACAGUUGAGAUUUUGGCUGUCAGGGUGGGGCAGGGGGAUGAGAAAAUGGGAUUUUUCGUGCUGGGCAACUGUCCCGUUGGAGUCUUCUGUAAAAAAUGGGACUGAUGUCCA